rnacentral:rRNA from 1 species
UACGUAGGGUGCGAGCGUUAAUCGGAAUUACUGGGCGUAAAGCGUGCGCAGGCGGUCGUUCAAGUCGAGUGUGAAAGCCCCCGGCUCAACUGGGGAGGGUCAUUCGAUACUGAUCGACUGGAAGGCAGGAGAGGGAAGCGGAAUUCCCGGUGUAGUGGUGAAAUGCGUAGAUAUCGGGAGGAACACCAGUGGCGAAGGCGGCUUCCUGGCCUGUUCUUGACGCUGAGGCGCGAAAGCUAGGGGAGCAAACGGG